rnacentral:rRNA from 1 species
UCSCCUGUUUAUCAAAAACAUAGCCCUUAGUAGUCAUUAUUGGUGUUUUYUGCUCAAUGAAAUUUAAAUAGCCGCAGUACCCUGACUGUGCAAAGGUAGCAUAAUAAGUUGGCUUAUAAUUAAAGUYUAGAAUGAAUGGAAUAAUGGRGAAUAACUGUAUCUCGAGKGAUUAUAUAAAUUACUUAGCACGUGAAAAUUCGUGUAAUUAAHUAACAGACGAGAAGACCCUAGAAAUUUUGAGGACUUGUUCACGCGGUUUUUGUUGGGGCAACAGUGUAACAGAUAACUUACACUAUUUACAAGAAAUAUAUUUUGAUAGAAUAAAUUACUCUAGGGAUAACAGCGUAAUGUUAUUGACGAUUGCGACCUCGAUGUUGGACUAGGAUACGAAAG